AACCUCCAGCAAACAAAGAACAAUUCUAUAUAUAUAGAAGCUCUCAUGCUAAAACUACUAAUAUGGGUUCUCCCUUCUAGCACACCUCUUUCUUUAAACUUAAGAAUUAACGGACCACAAAAGGAAGGAAAAUACACUCUACGAUUCCUACCCCUCCUGUAAGCUCAACGCUGGUGUGCAAAAUUAAAAUUGAAAGUCUCAGAAGGAACUCGGCAAACACGAACCCCAACUGUUUACCAAAAACAUAGCCUUUAGCCAUUCUAGUAUUAAAGGUACUGCCUGCCCAGUGAAUUUUUUAACGGCCGCGGUAUCCUA
rnacentral:rRNA from 1 species